ensembl:lncRNA
GGGAAGCUGUUAGAUCAUGGCUUGAACUGGUGACUGAGCACACCUGGUGAAGGGGUGUGGAUGACCCAGGGAGCACAGGCAAAGUGUUUUCACCUGUGCUCUCCACUUGUCCAGAAGGUCUGGACCCAGGAUGGAGACACACUGGGCUCACACAUGGGCAGCUACUACAGGGAAAGCAUCACUUGGACCUAGGCUGCUUUCUGAGAAGGUGUGUUGUGUAGCUUGAGAUGCCCUUCAGCAGAUGGCUUACAGGACAAAGAGGAAGAGUGUGGCCAGGACCUUGCAGGUUAAGAGACUCCUGCUGUGAUGGUUUGUGCCACUCUGCAGCUGGCAAGGCAGAAGAUUCUCUUCCUACUUCUUGCCUUAUUUCCUUUACAUGGCAGUGAAUCUCCUGUCUGUGGUAAGACCAGUCUCAAGUUGGGUGAACAGUUUUAGGCUUACACUGUGUUUUAUUGUUAAUUGCUACUGAAUGCGAUACAUUUGAA